rnacentral:rRNA from 1 species
AUUGAACGCUGGCGGCAGGCCUAACACAUGCAAGUCGAGCGGAUGAAGGGAGCUUGCUCCUGGAUUCAGCGGCGGACGGGUGAGUAAUGCCUAUGAAUCUGCCUGGUAGUGGGGGAUAACGUCCGGAAACGGGCGCUAAUACCGCAUACGUCCUGAGGGAGAAAGUGGGGGAUCUUCGGACCUCACGCUAUCAGAUGAGCCUAGGUCGGAUUAGCUAGUUGGUGGGGUAAAGGCCUACCAAGGCGACGAUCCGUAACUGGUCUGAGAGGAUGAUCAGUCACACUGGAACUGAGACACGGUCCAGACUCCUACGGGAGGCAGCAGUGGGGAAUAUUGGACAAUGGGCGAAAGACUGAUCCAGCCAUGCCGCAUGUGUGAAGAAGGUCUUCGGAUUGUAAAGCACUUUAAGUUGGGAGGAAGGGCAGUAAGUUAAUACCUUGCUGUUUUGACGUUACCAACAGAAUAAGCACCGGCUAACUUCGUG